GGGAGGACCCAAGCACGCAAGGAAGGAGGCAGGCAGGCAGGCAGGCAGUGUGGCCCCCACAGCUGAGCUCUCUGCAGCAGACCCUCUGCCCAGCCCAGCACUUGCCAGGUAGCCCACAAUAAACAACUGAUCUACUGCUCCAAAGGGGCUAUCGUGUUUUAUCGCCUCAAGAAUUUUCAGAUUAAAUAACCCUCAACUAGACCUUGCCACAUAAAAACAUAAUGACUCCAAAGGACCUACAGUGGCCUGUUGCAUCAAAGGUUUUCAGUGCAGAGGAGCCUCCAUGGAUCCAUCGUUUCUGAAAGAGAAUAUGAGUGAAGUAAAUUCCACAGAAAUCAAAUGAGUAAAUGUUUUAAGUAAAUGUGCACAUCACAAAAGAAGCCCCUUCAUUGAAACCUUGAUGCAUGACCAUAGAAGAGCAUCGUACAACAUGGACUAAAGGUGCCAUUUGGCUACUUUUGGAUCUUCUGGGCCAAGAUAAACCAUCUGAGCUUAAUGCUGAAGCACUGGAAAGCUCUAAGCAAGUCGCUCUGUUAGCACAAUUUUAAGAUACAAAAGAGUACCAGCACUGAACAUCAACAGCAACAUUCUUCAGGAAGGGAUUGCAAGAACAGAGCUGCUGGUUAGCACUUGGUGCGCCACCAAACAUGAUCUGGUAUAAAGGCAACUGCAUGCACAUCACUUGCUAAUUCAUCACUUGGAGAUAAACAACAACACAGGAACAUAGGAAGAACAUUGGUCCAUCUAGGUCAGCAUUCAGACAAAGGUCCUGGAUGUCCGUGGCCUGUAAUAAAUGAUGAUAAUGAUGAUGAUGUUGAUGACGACAACAAAGGUCUUCCCCAGUCCUACCUGGAGAUGCCAGGACUGAACCUGGAGGCUCAAAGACCUUUCCCUCAGACCUCUCCCCAAAAACCUCUUCCUGAGACACAAUAGAAUCAUCACUAGCUGCAAUAGAUAUGUCAGAUAUAGGUGCAUCUGAUGGGAAGAGUUUUAGAUGCUUAAAUUCUCCCUAACAUUUCACUUUAGGUGAAAUUUGAGAACAACUCUGAGCUAAGACUGCAUAAAGCUGAAGCCACGAUAUCUUGCUGAAACACAGCCAUGAACCUAAACUAUUGUUAAUUUUGAAAUCAUUCAAAACUAUGAUGAUAUUAUUAUUAUCAAUAAU